rnacentral:tRNA from 1 species
GUCAGGAUGGCCGAGUGGUCUAAGGCGCCAGACUCAAGACUCUGUCUUCCCCUCUCCUGGGUGUUCUGGUCUCUGUAUAGAGGCGUGGGUUCAAAUCCCACUUCUGACA